CCUACGGGCGGCAGCAGUGGGGAAUAUUGCACAAUGGGGGAAACCCUGAUGCAGCGACGCCGCGUGAGUGAAGAAGUAAUUCGUUAUGUUAAGCUCUAUCAGCAGGGAAGAAAAUGACGGUACCUGAGUAAGAAGCCCCGGCUAACUACGUGCCAGCAGCCGCGGUAAUACGUAGGGGGCAAGCGUUAUCCGGAUUUACUGGGUGUAAAGGGAGCGUAGGCGGUUUUUUAAGUUAGUGGUUAAACGUCGGGGCUUCACCUUGAUUUGCCAUUAAUACUGUAAGACUCGAGUUCAGACGAGGUAGGCGGAAUGAGUUAAGUAGCGGUGAAAUGCUUAGAUAUAACUUAGAACUCCGAUAGCGAAGGCAGCUUACCAGACUGCGACUGACGCUGAGGCACGAGAGCGUGGGUAGCGAACAGGAUUAGAUACCCUGGUAGUC
rnacentral:rRNA from 1 species